rnacentral:rRNA from 1 species
AACAAGGUUUCCGUAGGUGAACCUGCGGAAGGAUCAUUACCGAGUUCUCGGGCUUCGGCUCGAAUCUCCCACCCUUUGUGAACGUACCUCUGUUGCUUUGGCGGCUCUUUGCCGCGAGGAGGCCCUCGCGGGCCCCCCCGCGCGCUUUCCGCCAGAGGACCUUCAAACUCCAGUCAGUAAACGUCGACGUCUGAUAAACAAGUUAAUAAACUAAAACUUUCAACAACGGAUCUCUUGGUUCUGGCAUCGAUGAAGAACGCAGCGAAAUGCGAUAAGUAAUGUGAAUUGCAGAAUUCAGUGAAUCAUCGAAUCUUUGAACGCACAUUGCGCCCCCUGGCAUUCCGGGGGGCAUGCCUGUUCGAGCGUCAUUACAACCCUCAAGCUCUGCUUGGUAUUGGGCGCCGUCCUCUCUGCGGACGCGCCUUAAAGACCUCGGCGGUGGCUGUUCAGCCCUCAAGCGUAGUAGAAUACACCUCGCUUUGGAGCGGUUGGCGUCGCCCGCCGGACGAACCUUCUGAACUUUUCUCAAGGUUGACCUCGGAUCAGGUAGGGAUACCCGCUGAACUUAAGCAUAU